UACGAAGGGGGCUAGCGUUGCUCGGAAUCACUGGGCGUAAAGGGUGCGUAGGCGGGUCUUUAAGUCAGGGGUGAAAUCCUGGAGCUCAACUCCAGAACUGCCUUUGAUACUGAAGAUCUUGAGUUCGGGAGAGGUGAGUGGAACUGCGAGUGUAGAGGUGAAAUUCGUAGAUAUUCCCAAGAACACCAGUGGCGAAGGCGGCUCACUGGCCCGAUACUGACGCUGAGGCACGAAAGCGUGGGGAGCAAACAGG
rnacentral:rRNA from 1 species